rnacentral:rRNA from 1 species
UACAGAGGGGGCAAGCGUUAUUCGGAAUUAUUGGGCGUAAAGGGUGCGUAGGCGGCCUGACAAGUGGAAGGUGAAAUCCCUCGGCUUAACCGAGGAACUGCCCUCCAAACUGUCUGGCUUGAGACCGGGAGAGGUGAGUGGAAUUCCCGGGUGUAGCGGUGAAAUGCGCAGAUAUCGGGAGGAACACCAAUGGCGAAGGCAGCUCGCUGGGACGGUACUGACGCUGAGACGCGAAAGCGUGGGGGAGCAAACAGGG